CUUGGGCUCAACUGACAGUUCCUUUCCUUUUGCAAACAAUAAUUGUGAUAAAUUGUGAUUAUAUUUUCAUGCCAUAAUCUCAUCUUCAGAAUCAAAACAACUAGUGCCCUUUGGAUUUGGCUUACGGUGAGAUUAUCUCGAUUUUUUAUUUGUUUAUGUUUUGAUCUACCCGCACGAAACCGGACCAGGAAAAGUGAGGAGUACAACGAGAAGGCAACAAGAAUCACUUUUGGCAGACAUCGUUAGGAAAAAGGAAGGUAAAGCGAAUCACUCUUUGGCCUGGAGAUUCGUUAAAUCCCGAACGCGGUGAUCAUGAUGGCCCUCUUGCGAGUUCGUCGUAUUUUCCAUCCAAACGAAAUUGAACCGAUCGUUGGCAGCAGGUGGGGACAGCGGAGACCAACAACAUCACACUUUUUUUUUCCGGCCCGAAACGUUACUAUUCCGAGAAGCAGGAAUUGUAGUAAGCCACCGAAAGUGUUAACGCGGGAAUGUUUGGUCUGUUCAAGGAGCUGGAUCCGAGUUGGUUCGUAUUUUUCCUAAAACUUAUUGUUUCUUACGGAGUUGCAGCACUAGUUGCGGUAAUUUUUACUAAUUGAUAAAAAAUGUUUUUUCCCCAAUUUUGUCUACCAGUAUGAUAUGUUAAUCGAAUAACAGUAUCUGCAGCGUUAGAGCGCUAGUAAUGCUUCGCCUGUUAAAUGAUUGCUGCUAUUGAAUUUUGUUCAAUAUACUGUUAGACAAAAUUUAAAAUAUAUUGAACAAGCCUACAAGUAUCAUAUUACUAAUUUUAGCUACUUAAAUGUACUAUUUACAAAUGAGUUAUACCAAGACUCAAUGAUCGUAUCGUGCCUAACUGAACAACGUUUCCAUUUUUGCACAUUGAUUUUGCGAGACCCUCUGUAAAGUCUAACCCUUGGUAAAUAAUUUGUUUUUUUUUAUGAGCAAAUUAUAAGUUGUAACCGUAUACUAUCACACUGCCUUGGGUUUAGCAAACUAAUAAGAAAUAUUUAUAUACAGUUAGAAGUAAUAGGUUUUAUUUUUUUCAAAUUAUCAUAUAAUUAGUAAAUUUUCGUAGAAGCAGUGAACAGGUUGCAUCAACUGACCGAAAGACGAUUUCGCGUGAUAGAAAUAAAAGAGAAGUAAUUACUAUGCAUAAAUUAAAAUAAAAUUCAAGUUGAACAAUAAUUACAUUUAAAUUAAAUUAUAAGCAAUUCAAAAUUCAUACAUAAUGAUUAAGAACCAAAAUUCCAAAAAAAUACAAAAAAAUAGGAUUGAAAUGUAACUUAAUUAAAAUUGUAUACAACUAUUUAUAAUAAGAAAGCAUUAAAUUCUGUAUUUAAAAAAAAAAGCUUUAAAAAUCAGAAAAACA